rnacentral:rRNA from 1 species
UACGGGGGGGGCAAGCGUUGUUCGGAAUUACUGGGCGUAAAGGGCUCGUAGGCGGCCAACUAAGUCAGACGUGAAAUCCCUCGGCUUAACCGGGGAACUGCGUCUGAUACUGGAUGGCUUGAGAUUGGGAGAGGGAUGCGGAAUUCCAGGUGUAGCGGUGAAAUGCGUAGAUAUCUGGAGGAACACCGGUGGCGAAGGCGGCAUCCUGGACCGAGAUUGACGCUGAAAAGCGAAAGCUAGGGGAGCAAACGGG